UGGGGAAUCUUGGGCAAUGGGCGCAAGCCUGACCCAGCCAUGCCGCGUGUGCGAAGAAGGCCUUCGGGUUGUAAAGCACUUUCAGUGGUGAAGAAAAGCCAGGGGCUAAUACCCCCAGGUCUUGACGUUAGCCACAGAAGAAGCACCGGCUAACUCCGUGCCAGCAGCCGCGGUAAUACGGAGGGUGCGAACGUUAAUCGGAAUUACUGGGCGUAAAGCGCGCGUAGGCGGUUCGGUAAGUGGGAUGUGAAAGCCCCGGGCUUAACCUGGGAACUGCAUUCCAAACUGCCGAGCUAGAGUAUGGUAGAGGGAGGUAGAAUUUCCUGUGUAGCGGUGAAAUGCGUAGAUAUAGGAAGGAAUACCAGUGGCGAAGGCGGCCUCCUGGAUCAAUACUGACGCUGAGGUGCGAAAGCGUGGGGAGCAAACAGG
rnacentral:rRNA from 1 species